rnacentral:rRNA from 1 species
GGGUAGUUUGACUGGGGCGGUCUCCUCCUAAAGAGUAACGGAGGAGCACGAAGGUCAGCUAAUCCUGGUCGGACAUCAGGAGGUUAGUGCAAUGGCAUAAGCUGGCUUGACUGCGAGCGUGACGGCGCGAGCAGGUGCGAAAGCAGGUCAUAGUGAUCCGGUGGUUCUGAAUGGAAGGGCCAUCGCUCAACGGAUAAAAGGUACUCCGGGGAUAACAGGCUGAUACCGCCCAAGAGUUCAUAUCGACGGCGGUGUUUGGCACCUCGAUGUCGGCUCAUCACAUCCUGGGGCUGAAGUAGGUCCCAAGGGUAUGGCUGUUCGCCAUUUAAAGUGGUACGCGAGCUGGGUUUAGAACGUCGUGAGACAGUUCGGUCCCUAUCUGCCGUGGGCGCUGGAGAAUUGAGGGGGGCUGCUCCUAGUACGAGAGGACCGGAGUGGACGCAUCACUGGUGUUCGGGUUGUCAUGCCAAUGGCAUUGCCCGGUAGCUAAAUGCGGAAGAGAUAAGUGCUGAAAGCAUCUAAGCACGAAACUUGCCCCGA